CUCAUAGAUAAACAAAUUACAAAUCCAAACAUGUAAAAGCUAUUCAAUAAAUCAUACCGUACGUGUGACUGAAUGAUUCAGAGAAGAUGACAUAUUAAACAUGUCAAAUGGCAUGGAAAAAUUGAGCUAAAGCAUCAUUGUUUUGUCAUCAAUGUUGCAUCUUAAUUUAGCACAUAAAAGACAGACUUACUGAAAACAACUACAAUACUUGAACACUAUGAAAACAGAUCCAGAUUACAAUUUCCAUAUAAACACAUGUAAGUCAAAAAUAGUUAUAAACUAUUAAAUGCAUGAAAGUGAGAAAUGAACCUAAAAUUCCUUUCAAUUAAUAAAAUCCAGCAGUAAUACGGACUGAAGCAAAGAACCCAUGGCGACCAGUACUCGAUACAACGAUCCUCAAACGGGCAACCUCUAAGUGCUGCAAACUGUUUCCCAGAUCUGAGCGUGACUGGACAGCCUUAAAAAGAUGAGGAUGUGAACAGGACAACGAGCAGAACUCAUGACCUCCCCUUUGAGUAGAAGAACAAAAUGGCUUAGUGUAUGUGUGUGUUCUGUGUGUCUGUCUGUGUGAGUUUCGACGAGUGGAUGGUGAAGGCUAUGUGUGUGUGUUUUGUUGUCGCGACUUAAGUAAGGUCGUCGGUUUGAUGAGAGAGGAGUCGAAGUGUGGUCUGGUUUGUCGGUUAUUGAAGAGAGCAAGUGUCAAUGGAGGUUUCGAAGCUGAAGAAGAACGGUAGGGGCUAGGGGUUUUUUCGGUUCUCUACUGCUGGAGCUUCUUCACCUAGACUCUAGGGUUUUGUCUGUUUUCUUUUCAUGAAGAUGAGGGGUCUCCGGAUGUUGGAAGUUGAAGAAGAAAGAUCGGCAGUGAGGUUGUUUCUUUGGAGUUGUCGGCGGGUUUGGGGUGGUGUGUGACAUAGAAAACGAAGUUCAUAUGAGGGGAGUCUCUUCUUUGGUGAUAUGUGGCUCCAAGGUCCCAAAAAAAUGGUUGAAGGGUCUUAGGAUUCUAGGGUUUUUUGUGUCCAACCAUUGAAGAAGAUGAAGUUUUUUUCGGGGGG
rnacentral:lncRNA from 1 species